rnacentral:rRNA from 1 species
CAAUAGCGUAUAUUAAAGUUGUUGCGGUUAAAAAGCUCGUAGUUGGAUUUCUGCUGAGAACGACCGGUCCGCCCUUUGGGUGUGUAUCUGGCUCUUUCUUGGCAUCUUCUUGGUGAACGUUGCUGCACUUGACUGUGUGGAGCGCUACCCAGGACUUUUACUUUGAGGAAAUUAGAGUGUUUCAAGCAGGCAUACGCCUUGAAUACAUUAGCAUGGAAUAAUAAGAUAGGACCUCGGUUCUAUUUUGUUGGUUUCUAGAGCUGAGGUAAUGAUUAAUAGGGAUAGUUGGGGGCAUUCGUAUUUAACUGUCAGAGGUGAAAUUCUUGGAUUUGUUACAGACGGACUACUGCGAAAGCAUUUGCCAAGGAUGUUUUCAUUGA